GACGAACGCUGGCGGCGUGCCUAAUACAUGCAAGUCGAGCGGAUGGAAGGAAGCUUGCUUCCUAAAGUCAGCGGCGGACGGGUGAGUAACACGUGGGCAACCUGCCCCUAAGAUCGGGAUAACUUCGGGAAACCGGAGCUAAUACCGGAUAUGAUUAUGUCUCACAUGAGACAUAAUGGAAAGACGGUUUCGGCUGUCACUUAGGGAUGGGCCCGCGGGGCAUUAGCUAGUUGGUGAGGUAACGGCUCACCAAGGCGACGAUGCGUAGCCGACCUGAGAGGGUGAUCGGCCACACUGGGACUGAGACGCGGCCCAGACUCCUACGGGAGGCAGCAGUAGGGAAUCUUCCGCAAUGGACGAAAGUCUGACGGAGCAACGCCGCGUGAGUGAAGAAGGUUUUCGGAUCGUAAAACUCUGUUGUUAGGGAAGAACAAGUACCAUAGUAACUGAUGGUACCUUGACGGUACCUAACCAGAAAGCCACGGCUAACUACGUGCCAGCCGCCGCCGUAA
rnacentral:rRNA from 1 species